rnacentral:lncRNA from 7 species
GGGCCCACAUGUCAGCGAUGCCGGGGAUGGACUCGCGUGAUAGAGGAAGCUGUUAGUUGGGCCGGCCAAAUGGGAAUUUGGCCCAAGCGCACUUAUUUUUUAUCUUCCUUUCUUUUCUGUUCUCUUUUUUCUUUUAUUUUUAAAUUUCAAUUUCAAAUUCAAAUUUUGUUGGGAAUUUCAUACCUAAGGUGAAUGCAGAAAUUCAACUAUUAGGAUGAAAAGAAUAUAUUUAUUUAUACAUUUAUUUUCUUUAUUUUGUAUAGUAUUUUUCGUUCUCUUUCUCUAACUUCUUAUUUGCUAAUUGGGUCUUAAAUCCAAAUUUGGAACAUUAAUGUAUUUCUAUUAAUAGUAUUAUUAUUAUUAAAUGCACAUACAAAUAAAUCCCAGCAUGAUGCAUAUAAUAUUUAGGUGUCAUUAGCUACUUGAUCACUUUGAAUGUGGUUAUUCACAUGUUCUAAUAUAUAGAGGCAAAUCAUAUAAGGAAAUUAUCUCCUUUCUUACUCUUUACAACUUGGGUAUUACAGGCGAGUUCAAUACCUAAAAGCAUAGGGUCUCUUCUACAAUUUUCCUGAGCCAAGGGGUAUGGUUGACUCAGAAUUACAUGAUUGAAAAUGGAUGACCAGGAUUAGAUCGCGGCUCUCACAGAUGGGUACGUUAAGCUCACCGUGGGAUCCAGAUCGGAUGGUUCCGGUUUUAUGAAGCCUCGUCUAAUUCUGCCCCUCUGAUUAUAUCUCAACGAUUCAAACUCACUCGCCC